GGCCUGCGUAGACCCGUCCCUUUCAACCGCUGUCAGGAAACUGUGUGGACGAGGAAUCCCUGCUGGUCGCGCCCGAGACCAUCUCUCUGCGUCUCCUAGAAGGGGAAACCGUGACCCACAUCAAACUGUGGCCGUUGGAAAGGUGUUUAGGGAACAUUGUUCAGACUGGAAGGAAGAGCCACGUGAAAAUGCCCUUUCUGUUUACUCUGCUGGGAAG
rnacentral:lncRNA from 1 species